rnacentral:rRNA from 1 species
UACGUAGGGUGCGAGCGUGUCCGGAAUUAUUGGGCGUAAAGAGCUCGUAGGCGGUUUGUCGCGUCGUUCGUGAAAACUCCACGCUUAACGUGGAGCGUGCGGGCGAUACGGGCAGACUUGAGUUCGGUAGGGGAGACUGGAAUUCCUGGUGUAGCGGUGAAAUGCGCAGAUAUCAGGAGGAACACCAAUGGGCGAAGGCAGCUCGCUGGGACGGUACUGACG